AACUUUUUCUUUAUCUCAUUUCCCUUUUAUCGUAUAGGUGAUAAAAGUUAUCUUUUGCCCUUUCCGUUAUCCUAACUAUCAUAAACGCUUCUACUGAGUCACUUAAUCCUCUAUACCCUAGCAAUAGGAUUGCCUUAAAGUCUUUGGCGUUCGACGUUAGAUUAUCUGGUUGAUCUUCCGCGGCUGGUUUUUCGUUUUCGUCUCGGUGGCAUAAUCGUAAAUUAUUCUUCAUUUCCUUACAUUCUAAGCCUCAUCGUAUACGUUCGACAUAUAACACAAAAUUUUCUACUCAAAUAAUCAUGUAUUCCAAAAUAUUAGAUUUUGAAACUUGGUUUACUAUAUUAACCAAUAUUCAGAUAAAUAUCUGCUAUCUUUAUAACAACUUACUUCAUUAAUCCAAC
rnacentral:lncRNA from 1 species